rnacentral:rRNA from 1 species
AUUGAACGCUGGCGGAAUGCUUUACACAUGCAAGUCGAGCGGCAGCGCGGGGGCAACCCUGGCGGCGAGCGGCGAACGGGUGAGUAAUACAUCGGAACGUAUCCUGGAGUGGGGGCAUAGCUCGGCGAAAGCCGGAUUAAUACCGCAUAAGCUCUGAGGAGGAAAGCGGGGGGUACCGCAAGGCCUCGCGCUGCAGGAGCGGCCGAUGUCGGAUUAGCUAGUUGGUGGGGUAAAGGCCUACCAAGGCGACGAUCCGUAGCUGGUCUGAGAGGAUGAUCAGCCACACUGGGACUGAGACACGGCCCAGACUCCUACGGGAGGGCAGCCAUGGGGAAUUUUGGGCACAAUGGGGGUCAACCCUGAUCCAGCCAUUCCGCGUGAGUGAAGAAGG